GACAUUCAACGAGAUACAGAAGUUGCUCAAUAAAACCGAUGGGCAGGUGGUUACCGGCUCCAUUAGUUGUACGUGAAACGACUAACCUUGAGGACGCUGCUAGAUUAUUGCUCAAGACAAAAUAUGGUCGCCUUCCGGUUGUUGAUAUGGAGGGUAAACUGCUAAACGGGCAUCAUCACAAGGGGAGAUGUUAUAAGAGCUGCUCUUAAAAUAAAGCGUGAUAGCCAAGGAUACAGUAAUUAGGAAGAAACUCGUG